rnacentral:rRNA from 1 species
CAGUCGCCGCGGUAAUACGGAGGGUGCAAGCGUUAAUCGGAAUUACUGGGCGUAAAGCGCACGCAGGCGGUCUGUCAAGUCAGAUGUGAAAUCCCCGGGCUUAACCUGGGAACUGCAUUUGAAACUGGCAGGCUAGAGUCUUGUAGAGGGGGGUAGAAUUCCAGGUGUAGCGGUGAAAUGCGUAGAGAUCUGGAGGAAUACCGGUGGCGAAGGCGGCCCCCUGGACAAAGACUGACGCUCAGGUGCGAAAGCGUGGGGAGCAAACAGGAUUAGAGACCCCGGUAGUCCCUGUCUCUUAUAC